CAUUACCUCCAAUUUGCAAACUAGGAAUCCAGGCAGGAGGAAAUUAAACCCUUAACCAAGGUCAUCUCAGAGUGAAGACUAGAAAUGAAAUGAAGAGUCCCUGCCUCCUUACUUUCCACUGGCCACCUCAAAGGUGGCUACCGAAGGGCUUGCUUUUAUUCCACAGGCAGAGCCAGCUCCUUGCUGCAUCUGACCCUUUUCUUUACAGAGUUCAGUGAGGGCAGGGGAGAGACCUUAUAGAAUGAUGUCUCCACUACAGACUGGUUUUGAGAACUGCCACAUCUCCAACCAUGGAAGCAGAAGUGUGGAAGGCUGAAGGAGUGAAGGGCCUGACGUGCUUCCCAUCUUUCUACCUCUGGCAAUCACUGUAGGGCUACAUGCUAAAGAUGGCAAAGCUAAAGAACGUAUGUUCCUGUGUCCCCCACUUGGCAGGGAAUCACCAAGUAACAUCCACAUUAGACUUCAGGUCUACAGGUGUGGAUGAGAAACAUCUGGCCAGGAAACCAGGCCGCCAGAAUCCCCGGAGUAAGGGCACUCAGCCACGCUAUCAGGAAAGAGGAAGCUCCUCAGCAGUAUUCUGGCCAGCACUGAAAUUCUUCAAGUUUGCAAACCAGGGAACUGCUUCAUGCACCUGCCCUGCCAAGGGUCUUCACAAUGAGGAAGAUUACAUCUCUGAUUUCCCAAUCCUUUGUGAGACCAGGUGCUUAACCCUGCCUGCAGGGAUAACUCUUCUCCCUCUGGAAGAAAUAGCUGUUCUAAGGGGAAGAGAUAUGUCAUGGGGGAAUGGCUUGACUUUUCUCCCAAAAAACAUGUUGUCCAUUUACCUAGUGGGAAAGAAAACUGCACACACUUCCGAGAGCUCAAAGCUGUUUUAGGGCCUGUCCUUCUCCCCCGUCCCCUUUCCUGCCUCCUUCCCUUCUUCCCUCAAAGACACAGAUGGAAAUAAUAUGUUAACUAUA